CCUACGGGGGGCAGCAGUGAGGAAUAUUGGUCAAUGGCCGGAAGGCUGAACCAGCCAUGCCGCGUGAAGGUCAGUGCCCUAUGGGCGUUAAACUUCUUUUGUGCGGGAGCAAUAAUGGUCACGUGUGGCCAGACGAGAGUACCGUACGAAUAAGCAUCGGCUAACUCCGUGCCAGCAGCCGCGGUAAUACGGGGGAUGCAAGCGUUAUCCGGAUUUAUUGGGUUUAAAGGGUGCGUAGGCUGUGAGGUAAGUCAGCGGUGAAAUGCCCCCGCUCAACGGGGUGAAGUGCCAUUGAUACUGCCUUGCUGGAAUGCGGAUGCCGUGGGAGGAAUGUGUGGUGUAGCGGUGAAAUGCAUAGAUAUCACAAAGAACACCGAUUGCGAAGGCAGCUCACGAAUCCGCGAUUGACGCUGAUGCACGAAAGCGUGGGUAUCAAACAGGAUUAGAUACCCCUGUAGUC
rnacentral:rRNA from 1 species